CGCUGGUCUGAGUGCAGCGAUGUUUACAAUUCAUUGAUCACAGCCAGUUACAGAUUUCUUUGUUCCUUUUCCAUUCCCACUGCUUUACCUGACUAGCCAAAA
rnacentral:Y_RNA from 1 species